UACUUACAGAUAGAUCGUUUUCA
rnacentral:miRNA from 1 species